rnacentral:rRNA from 1 species
UACGUAGGGGGCAAGCGUUGUCCGGAAUCAUUGGGCGUAAAGAGCGUGUAGGCGGUCCGGUAAGUCGGCUGUGAAAGUCCAAGGCUCAACCUUGGGAUGCCGGUCGAUACUGCCGGACUAGAGUUCGGAAGAGGCGAGUGGAAUUCCCGGUGUAGCGGUGAAAUGCGCAGAUAUCGGGAGGAACACCUAUGGCGAAGGCAGCUCGCUGGGACGUUACUGACGCUGAGGCGCGAAAGCGUGGGGAGCAAACAGG